rnacentral:rRNA from 1 species
GACAGAGGUGCCAAGCGUUAGGCGGAAUCACUGGGCUUAAAGCGUGUGUAGGCGGGCGGGCAAGUACCUUGUGAAAUCCCGCGGCUCAACCGUGGAACGGCUGGGUAUACUGCCUGUCUUGAGCCAGCUAGGGGCGACCGGAACAGACGGUGGAGCGGUGAAAUGCGUAGAUAUCGUCUGGAACGCCAAAGGUGAAAACAGGUCGCUGGGGCUGAGCUGACGCUGAGACACGAAAGCCAGGGGAGCGAACGGG